ACUUGAUUUCUCUUGAUUGUAUGAUUAAAUUUGGAAUACCGUUUUACUGAACCCAUAUAUAUUUUUGGUACUCUGUCAAGACUAGAGGUGAGGGAAGGGAGGGAGUUCAAAUUUUCACAAUUAUUGAACGGAAUUGGCUUUUUAAAAGGGAAAGGGAAUUUUCCCACUAUUAAGUUUAUAAAAUCCCGAAAAUGAGUUUUCUAACUUUGCUUCAAAUAUGACUAUUUCAUAAUUUUAAUACCCAUAAAAUGCUUAUACCUAAGUUUUAAGUUUAUAAUGAAGAUACCUAAGGUGGAAGGAGUACUUCCUUUUUCCUCAUCUUCUUAGAAAACCUUGCAUUCCCUCUUGAAGUGAUCUGGUAUAGUGCCUUGAAACUGAUUGGCUUAUACUACUUGAUUGAAGUUGCUCUAACCCCUUGAAUUUUCCACAUUGGUCCAUCUUCUGGUUUUUCCUUGAUCAUACAGUUCGCAGAUCUUGAGUUUAGCAAUUUAGAUUAAUCCAGGUUGGGGAGAAAUAAUGCCCUUAUGCCCUUUUAAGCUGCAAACAUGGAAGAUCGGUUCUAAGCCGAUGAAGGGGCUAAACCUCAAAACCUAAUGUUUGGACUGCCAUGGUGGAUAGUACACCUAUUUUCAAGUCAUAAUGUUACCAUGUAAAGUAGCUAGCCUGAAAUCUGAGUUAAAUUACCACUUUGAAAUUUAUGUAUGAUUCAAAUCUCCAUUGUUUUUUUUUUCUGCCAUGCUAUGGGCACCUAGGGUCUGGCAGGUUGAAGACUUUUGAGGGCUCCUUUACUUCUAUAUGCUUCCGGUCAUUGGGAGGGGAUGUGGUGAAUUUGGAGACGUAUGAAAUAAAAUAAGCUAUGUUCAUUCUGCUGCAGGAUUCUUCUGUGUAAAGAACAAAAUGACUGGUUGAUUUGUUUGUCAAUAAUCUUUUUUUGUGCCUUUUACAUUAUUUGGCUGCUGGUAUUAUCUACCUCAAGUUUUCUGUUGCUACCAGAUUAUUGAAAUCCCAAUGUAUUUCUGUACAAUAAAGAAACAGAUGGAAGCUAAGGAUGAUAGUGGAUAUAAACAUGUAUGGGAGAUCUGUGCAGAUGUGAGGUUGAUUUUCAAGAAUGCGAUGAAAUAUACUAAUGAAAAGAAUGAUCUACAUGUCAUGGCAAGAACCUUGUUGGCAAAGUUCGAAGAAAAGUGGCUACAGUUUUUGCCUGAGUUGUGGAAAAGGUUGUUGUUGCAGGAUAAUAGACGAUAAGAAGAGGAAGUUGAUGUACAGUUAAGCAUGCAGUUGCUCAAGAGUCUACUUAUGCCAAAAUGACUUGGGGAAAAUGUCAGCAGAAGAGGAAAGGCAGGUUGGCAUAGCGCUCACAAGUCACAAGGCUAUCCACUGAUGAUCUCAGUGGGGCACUAGAGAUUGUUGUCCUGAGCAAUCCUGGUUUUGUAUUAAAUGCGCUGAGGAGGUGGACCUCGCUAUAGAUGCUCAAGUAGUCUUUUUCUGGAUAUAUUGUCUGCCCCACAGGCUAGCUUCUUGUCAUAUCAUUUUAGGAAUGUUUUUCCAUUGACAUAUAGAGUGAAUCCACAUUAUGGAGGCUAGAAUUCUAUAUAAAAGUCGCACCUCAAGCCCAAGGCAAGCCUGCAACAAGCAUGGGUGGCAACUACAGCGAUAACAAUGAAACAAUAAAUAAAAGAGAGACUGAGAGAGGUCUGCGAUGCCAACCAGGCUUGCCAAGAAGUGUAAGAAGGUACCAUCUUGAAUUUUUUUUAACUAUGUAGAAUAGAUGAAACAAGCUCCAUAUGAUCUGUAACUAUAUAUGUAUGUAACACUCCCUUGAAUAUCAAAACAUUUUCAAAAGGUAUUAUUCUCAUUCUGUUGCUAUGAGCCUGUGACUGUUUUAAGGAUGUAGUCUGAACUUUGAUGUCAGUUUUAGAAGAGUUGGAAAUGAUUGGAUUUCUUGGUAGCUGUGGGUGAUUUUAGUAAUGAGACAAACUAUGAUUUUAUUUUAUUAGACGAAAAUUGUAAUAUUACAGCC